UACGUAGGGUGCAGGCGUUAAUCGGAAUUACUGGGCGUAAAGCGUGCGUAGGCGGUUUGUUAAGACAGGUGUGAAAUCCCCGGGCUUAACCUGGGAACUGCGCUUGUUACUGGCAGACUGGAGUGUGGCAGAGGGGGGUGGAAUUCCAGGUGUAGCAGUGAAAUGCGUAGAUAUCUGGAGGAACACCGAUGGCGAAGGCAGCCCCCUGGGCUAACACUGACGCUGAUGCACGAAAGCGUGGGGAGCAAACGGG
rnacentral:rRNA from 1 species